AGGAAAUUCCACUGUCCCUUCUGUGAUAUGAGAAUGUACAGUCCUCAAAUUAGGAAGCAGGCCUUCAGCCAACACUGAAUCAGCUAGCAGCUUGGUCUUCAACUUCUCAGCUUCCAGGACUGUGAGGAAUAAAUUCUUGGUGUUUACAAGCCUUCCAGGAUGAGGAAGAACACAGGAGGGGAGCAGAGAUUCAAAGCCACGUCUGGUGGAUAUGGAAAGCAUGUGGGCUGAACUUUCUCAAUCAACCCAUUCUAAAGGUGUUUUGCUACCAUUAGGAGUUGGGUCUCCCUUUCUGGAAGAGGUCAAGAAGCAAUGUCAAGAACUGUGAGCUGAGACACCUCCCCUGUAAGUGUCUUCCAGGAGGGACCUUCAAAUGGACAGUAAGAGCCAUUAAUAGAGUUUUCACAUCACAUUAAUGACACAGUGUCCAAUUCCUUUCAUGUCUAUGUUCAUUUCCAUUUGGAGUAGGAAAAAGAAAGAAACAAAUUAUAUUGACAAAGGGCCCUGGCUAUUCCUUCCCACAGAAUAUUGAAAUAUGUUCCUGAUUUCCUAGAGAGCAGAAAGGAUGAAAAUGGCACAGAAAUCAUGGCUGUUUAUAGCUGAAAUGGGAAUCAGUACAAUGCAGAACUUAAAAUAAUUGGUUUGGGAGUCAGACAAAGAUGGGUUUGUCUGAACAUGAUCAUCUCCUAACUGUUUGACCUUGGAAAGAAAUUCAAAUUUUCUCCAACUGUGGAUCAAGCAUGAAUCCAUGUCUUUUGAGGCAGACAGGUAUGUCAGCCCUUGUCAAAUGGAAGGAGGGAGCUGUGCAAGGGUAUAGGAAGAAGUAUCUGAGAGAGACGUAUUCUGAGAGAGUUUGUCUCUCCAUCUGCUGUGGCUCUACAUGGUGCUUGAAGCACCCUUCUUCCUCACUUCCAUGCAUCAUGAUGUCAUCUACUUCCACCUCAAAAGUGACCCAAAAUCUUUCUCUGGUAAACAUAUUGCUGUAAUUUCAUCUCAGCUGCUUGUUCAGAGGUUUUGAAUGCUAAAUUUUGAUUUGGAGGUUAAAUUAUCCUUUAAAAAUAGGUUCAAGAUAUCUUUAGGGAACUAGAAGGGAAUAAUUGUUUUAGUCAGGUCAACACUAGGAUGUUCUUUUAAAAGACUUUUCUCCACUGAUCAUCUAUUUCCAGAGACGUGUAUUCUAAAAACGUUGAUGUGCAGCAUUUGCAAAAGCACUGUUACUCACUGCUGAGGAAAGGGAAGGUGGUACAAACGCCUUGGUUGAUUUGGCCAAAUAAUCUCUUUUCUGAAAUGUAGGUAGCAGCUCUUAAUGCCUGAGG
ensembl:lncRNA